rnacentral:rRNA from 1 species
ACGCCAGACUCCUACGGGAGGCAGCAGUGAGGAAUAUUGGUCAAUGGUCGGGAGACUGAACCAGCCAAGCCGCGUGAGGGAGGAAGGUACAGAGUAUCGUAAACCUCUUUUGUCAGGGAACAAAGGCGGGGACGUGUCCCCGGAUGAGUGUACCUGAAGAAGAAGCCCCGGCUAACUACGUGCCAGCAGCCGCGGGAAUACGUAGGGGGCAAGCGUUAUCCGGAUUUACUGGGUGUAAAGGGGGCGCAGACGGCGAUGCAAGCCAGGAGUGAAAGCCCGGGGCCCAACCCCGGGACUGCUCUUGGAACUGCGUGGCCGGAGUGCAGGAGGGGCAGGCGGAAUUCCUGGUGUAGCGGCGAAAUGCGUAGAUAUCAGGAGGAACACCGGUGGCGAAGGCGGCCUGCUGGACUGCAACUGACGUUGAGGCCCGAAAGCGUGGGGAGCAAACAGGAUUAGAUCCCCGGGUA